AAAUUGAAGAGUUUGAUCAUGGCUCAGAUUGAACGCUGGCGGCAGGCCUAACACAUGCAAGUCGAGCGGUAGCACAGAGAGCUUGCUCUCGGGUGACGAGCGGCGGACGGGUGAGUAAUGUCUGGGAAACUGCCUGAUGGAGGGGGAUAACUACUGGAAACGGUAGCUAAUACCGCAUAACGUCGCAAGACCAAAGUGGGGGACCUUCGGGCCUCAUGCCAUCAGAUGUGCCCAGAUGGGAUUAGCUAGUAGGUGGGGUAACGGCUCACCUAGGCGACGAUCCCUAGCUGGUCUGAGAGGAUGACCAGCCACACUGGAACUGAGACACGGUCCAGACUCCUACGGGAGGCAGCAGUGGGGAAUAUUGCACAAUGGGCGCAAGCCUGAUGCAGCCAUGCCGCGUGUGUGAAGAAGGCCUUCGGGUUGUAAAGCACUUUCAGCGGGGAGGAAGGCGAUAAGGUUAAUAACCUUGUCGAUUGACGUUACCCGCAGAAGAAGCACCGGCUAACUCCGUGCCAGCAGCCGCGGUAAUACGGAGGGUGCAAGCGUUAAUCGGAAUUACUGGGCGUAAAGCGCACGCAGGCGGUCUGUCAAGUCGGAUGUGAAAUCCCCGGGCUCAACCUGGGAACUGCAUUCGAAACUGGCAGGCUAGAGUCUUGUAGAGGGGGGUAGAAUUCCAGGUGUAGCGGUGAAAUGCGUAGAGAUCUGGAGGAAUACCGGUGGCGAAGGCGGCCCCCUGGACAAAGACUGACGCUCAGGUGCGAAAGCGUGGGGAGCAAACAGGAUUAGAUACCCUGGUAGUCCACGCCGUAAACGAUGUCGAUUUGGAGGUUGUGCCCUUGAGGCGUGGCUUCCGGAGCUAACGCGUUAAAUCGACCGCCUGGGGAGUACGGCCGCAAGGUUAAAACUCAAAUGAAUUGACGGGGGCCCGCACAAGCGGUGGAGCAUGUGGUUUAAUUCGAUGCAACGCGAAGAACCUUACCUGGUCUUGACAUCCACAGAACUUUCCAGAGAUGGAUUGGUGCCUUCGGGAACUGUGAGACAGGUGCUGCAUGGCUGUCGUCAGCUCGUGUUGUGAAAUGUUGGGUUAAGUCCCGCAACGAGCGCAACCCUUAUCCUUUGUUGCCAGCGGUCCGGCCGGGAACUCAAAGGAGACUGCCAGUGAUAAACUGGAGGAAGGUGGGGAUGACGUCAAGUCAUCAUGGCCCCUUACGACCAGGGCUACACACGUGCUACAAUGGCAUAUACAAAGAGAAGCGACCUCGCGAGAGCAAGCGGACCUCAUAAAGUAUGUCGUAGUCCGGAUUGGAGUCUGCAACUCGACUCCAUGAAGUCGGAAUCGCUAGUAAUCGUAGAUCAGAAUGCUACGGUGAAUACGUUCCCGGGCCUUGUACACACCGCCCGUCACACCAUGGGAGUGGGUUGCAAAAGAAGUAGGUAGCUUAACCUUCGGGAGGGCGCUUACCACUUUGUGAUUCAUGACUGGGGUGAAGUCGUAACAAGGUAACCGUAGGGGAACCUGCGGUUGGAUCACCUCCUUACCUUAAAGAA
rnacentral:rRNA from 1 species